AGUGAACGCUGGCGGUAGGCCUAACACAUGCAAGUCGAACGGCAGCACAGUAAGAGCUUGCUCUUACGGGUGGCGAGUGGCGGACGGGUGAGGAAUACAUCGGAAUCUACUUUUUCGUGGGGGAUAACGUAGGGAAACUUACGCUAAUACCGCAUACGACCUACGGGUGAAAGCAGGGGAUCUUCGGACCUUGCGCGAUUGAAUGAGCCGAUGUCGGAUUAGCUAGUUGGCGGGGUAAAGGCCCACCAAGGCGACGACCCGUAGCUGGUCUGAGAGGAUGGUCAGACACACUGGAACUGAGACACGGUCCAGACUCCUACGGGAGGCAGCAGUGGGGAAUAUUGGGCAAUGGGGGAAAGCCUGAUCCAGCCAUACCGCGUGGGUGAAGAAGGCCUUCGGGUUGUAAAGCCCUUUUGUUGGGAAAGAAAAGCAGCAGGUUAAUACCCCGCUGUUCUGACGGUACCCAAAGAAUAAGCACCGGCUAACUUCGUG
rnacentral:rRNA from 1 species